rnacentral:tRNA from 1 species
GUCAAGGUAAGCUAAACCAAGCUUUUGGGCUCAUUCCCCAAACAUGAGGACUUACCCCCUCCCUUUACC